GAACCCGUAGCUCAAUGGUAGAGCGUUCGACUCAAUUACCAAAGGCCGCGGGUUCGAAUCCCGGGUGUG
rnacentral:tRNA from 1 species